UAGCAGGCCACAGAAAUGAGUUUGAGAUGA
rnacentral:piRNA from 1 species